rnacentral:rRNA from 1 species
UACGUAGGGUGCAAGCGUUGUCCGGAAUUAUUGGGCGUAAAGAGCUCGUAGGCGGUUUGUCGCGUCUGCUGUGAAAACCCGAGGCUCAACCUCGGGUCUGCAGUCGAUACGAGCAAACUAGAGUGUUGCAGGGGAGACUGGAAUUCCUGGUGUAGCGGUGAAAUGCGCAGAUAUCAGGAGGAACACCGGUAGCGAAGGCGGGUCUCUGGGCAACAACUGACGCUGAGGAGCGAAAGCGUGGGGGAGCGAACAGG